rnacentral:misc_RNA from 1 species
UGAGUCAUCGAAUCUUUGAACGCACAUUGCGCCCGCUAGUAUUCUGGCGGGCAUGCCUGUCUGAGCGUCAUUUCAACCCUCGCCCCCGGCUUUUGCUGGGAGCGGUGUUGGGGAUCGGCCGCCCGUCACUGGGAGGCCGGCCCCGAAAUAGAGUGGCGACCACGCCGUGUGCUCCUCUGCGUAGUAGUAAAUCACCUCGCAGGCGGACAGCGGUGCGGCCUGCCGUAAAACCCCCAACUCUUUCUGGUUGACCUCAGAUCAGGUAGGAAUACCCGCUGAACUUAAGCAUAUCAAUAAGC